UACGAAGGGGGCUAGCGUUGCUCGGAAUCACUGGGCGUAAAGCGCACGUAGGCGGAUUGCUAAGUCAGGGGUGAAAUCCUGGAGCUCAACUCCAGAACUGCCUUUGAUACUGGCGAUCUUGAGUCCGGGAGAGGUGAGUGGAACUGCGAGUGUAGAGGUGAAAUUCGUAGAUAUUCGCAAGAACACCAGUGGCGAAGGGCGGCUCACUGGCCCGGUACUGACGCUGAGGUGGCGAAAGCGUGGGGAGCAAACAGGG
rnacentral:rRNA from 1 species